GUAGUCCACGCCGUAAACGAUGGAUACUAGCUGUUGGGCGUAUCGACCCGCUCGGUAGCGAAGCUAACGCGUUAAGUAUCCCGCCUGGGGAGUACGGCCGCAAGGCUAAAACUCAAAGGAAUUGACGGGGACCCGCACAAGCGGUGGAGCGUGUGGUUUAAUUCGAGGCUACGCGAAGAACCUUACCAAGGCUUGACAUCCUGGUCAUACGUCUAAGAAAUUAGAUGGUCAUUUAGUUGGACCAGUGACAGGUGAUGCAUGGCCGUCGUCAGCUCGUGUCGUGAGAUGUUAGGUUAAGUCCUUCAACGAGCGCAACCCUCGUGGUUAGUUGUAUUUUUCUAACCAGACUGCCUCGACAACGGGGAGGAAGGAGGGGAUGACGUCAGGUCCGUAUUUCCCUUACGUCUUGGGCUACACACACGCUACAAUGGCCGGUACAAUGGGCUGCUAAGUCGCAAGGCGGAGCUAAUCCCACCAAAACCGGUCUCAGCUCGGAUUAUAGGCUGAAACUCGCCUGUAUGAAGUUGGAAUCGCUAGUAACCGUAGGUCAGCACACUACGGUGAAUACGUUCCCGGGUCUUGUACACACCGCCCGUCACAUCGCGAAAGUGACCAACGUCUGAAGCCUGCCUUUAUGGUGGACCACGAUGGGGGUCAUGAUUGGGGUG
rnacentral:rRNA from 1 species